rnacentral:rRNA from 1 species
UACGGAGGGUGCGAGCGUUAUCCGGAUUCACUGGGUUUAAAGCGUGCGCAGGCGGUUGUGUAAGCCAGAUGUGAAAUCCCCGGGCUUAACCUGGGAAUGGCAUUUGGGACUGCACGGCUAGAGUACGGCAGAGGAGACUAGAAUUCCUGGUGUAGCAGUGAAAUGCGUAGAUAUCAGGAGGAACACCGGUGGCGGAAGGCGGGUCU